UUCAAGUAAGAUAUUCACCCUGUUGUUGUUAGGAAGCUUUAAAGAUAUGUAAGCAUGCUUCAGCUUGUUUUUUUCACUCUGUUUACUUCUGGAUUUAUUGAAUCACAAGGAAGAAAAGUGUUUUGUGAAUCCUCGGAAUUAAAAAUAUCGUAUUCCUUUUGUGAUUCUGUGGCCCAUGUUUUUCUCGUUACUAUAGUUCCUUGUUCCUUUAGCCAGCGAAAUUGGAAAGGUACUGUUUUCUGGAUUCCAAGGAGUGAUAUAAUCUUUAUGAAGGUCAGGAUAGAAUUAUGGUAUAACACUGCAAAAGUAUUAGAUUCAAAACAUAUUGUUUGCCAUGGAUUUGAUGAUGACUUUUCAUUUUGUGGAACGCUGAAGGGAGAGACGGUGAACACAACAUUUCACAUGAGCGGAGUAAGAACAACAUUUCUAAAGGAAUGACUGUACUUGAGUGAUAGGUGAACUCAAGUUAUCCCUUGCUAAUAGCUUUCUGAAGAGUUUAUUUUAGAAAAGAAAAUUAGCACAGGGAUUAUAUACAAUUAUUAUAAGAGGAUUCUCUGAUCAUUCUGAGAAGAACUUGCUUUUUUGUGUGAAUUUCAACUUGUUAAUGAAAACAGACGGUUAAGGUAUUUUGGAAUAUGAUGGCUGUUUCAAAUAAUUAGAGAACACAAGAACUGCUUCUGCAAGGAACUGGAAUUUUAUCACUGAAAUUAAAAAAACAGAUUGAUUUUACAUGAGUAAGAAUGCAAAAUGCUCUUUAUUGUAUAUAUAAUUAUAAGGAAGAGGAGUAGUCUCAUCCAUUCAUAUACUUGCUAUAAUCAAAUUGUCCGCCAAUUUGUGCAAAAUUUCUAUGUGAAAACUAGAUUUAAAUGCAUGCUGCUUAAUCUACCGAAUGAACUUGGUGUCAUCAUUAAUUGUAUUUCAGUUCUACUUUUUUGUGCUAUGCAGAAUGUAUGUACUUCAGUCUCUGCUAAGCUAAGACAAGAAUGUUUGCUUGAAUUUGUCUGAUAUCAAAAACGUAUUGUAUGGCCCUGUUUUUCAUCUUGACUAUAAAUCUUCU